GACGAACGCUGGCGGCGUGCCUAAUACAUGCAAGUAGGACGCAGUUGCGAACGGGAGAGUAACGAGUAGGUCACUACAUAUUAGAGGGGGAUAACUAUUGGAAACGAUAGCUAAUACCGCAUACUAGUAGAUGGACCUGCGUUGUAGUUGCAAGUAGGUCGGGUAAUGGCCUACCUAGGCAAAGAUACAUAGCCGACUCGAGGAGGGGAUCGGCCACACUGGGACAUAGAACCGGCCCAGACCCCUACGGGAGGCAGCCGUAGGGAAUCUUCGGACAUGGGGGGAACCCUUACCGAGCAACGCCGCGUGAGUGAAGAAAGGUUUCGGAUCGGAAAGCUCUGUUGUUAAGGAAGCGGUACUUAACCAGAAAGGGACGGCUAACUACGUGCCAGCAGCCGCGGUAAUUC
rnacentral:rRNA from 1 species